CUUAAGGUUCUUCUCCUACCUAGAAAUCUAAAGUUCUGCUGCAAAUUUCACAGGCUGAGUUCUAUAAUAUCAGUAAACUACUAAACUAAAAAUUACAUGCUCAUUACUGCAAGUGAAUAAGCUUCAAAAGGAAAUUUCAAGUGCUGAGAUCAAAUAUGCUGGCAGCCUUCAAUUUCUCAUCCGGACUAGCUCCACCUUCUUUCUUGACCACAACGACAUCUGUAAGUUUAUGUGGUUCAGCCUCUUCCAGCAUCUGAACUACCAUUCUCAUUGAUGGUCUUAAAGCUGGGAUUUUUGCUGUGCAGUGCAUAGCGAUUUUCAGAACUUUGAUGGCAUCCUCCCUCAGGUUCUCUGAGAUGUUUGAGUCCGCUAAAUCAAGUGCAUUCUCUUUGCUUGUCAUUUUGCUGCAAACCCAGUAUAUUAUGUCCUUGUUCUCUCCAAAUUCUGGUUCUACUGGCCUUUUUCCUGUGACCAACUCCAUUAGGACUACUCCAAAACUGUACACAUCACUCUUCUCGUUUACCUUGCAUGUGUACGCAUAUUCAGGAGCCAUGUAACCAUGAGUUCCAGCAAUGAUAUGACUCCAAUCUCCACCACCAGCUUGAACAAUCUUUGCAAGUCCAAAAUCAGCAAUCCUUGGCUUCCACUCCUCAUCCAACAAAAUAUUACUUGACUUCACAUCUCUGUGAAUCACAGGUCUAUCAAACCCAUGAUGCAAGUACUCCAGUCCCCUUGCAGCCCCAACUGCAAUUGCAUACCUUAACUCCCACCCCAUCUUCAUCUCGUUACAAGAAUGUAGCUGAUCCCACAAGCUUCCAUUGGGUAGAUACUCAUAAACCAGUAGAUUGCUGUCCUCACUUGUGAUGCUACA
rnacentral:misc_RNA from 1 species